rnacentral:lncRNA from 1 species
AGUCUACAUCUUUCACGCAUGCUGGAUGCUGCCUGCCCUCGAACAUCAGACUCCAACUUCUUCAGUUUUGGGACUUGGACUGGCUCUCCUUGCCCCUUGGCUUGUAGACAGCCUAUUGUGAGACCUUGCGAUCAUGUAUUCUCAACUUUUGAAACCCAUCUGUGUUCAUGAUCUAAGAAGUUAAAGCUCUCCCUGUGGACUAUGCAACAUCACCCCCUGUGGGAUCUUUUCCCUAUAAGAGAAACAUGUAUUCAUGAGUGCUCCAGUUCCAGGUUUAAAGUGAAACUCAGAA